UGGGGCGUAGCCAAGCGGUAAGGCAGAGGACUUUGACUCCUCCAUUCGCUGGUUCGAGUCCAGCCGUCCCAG
rnacentral:tRNA from 1 species